rnacentral:rRNA from 1 species
UCAAUAAAGUUCUAAAUAGUGAUAAUAUGAUUAUGACAAAAAACUAUUUAUAAGUCUUGACCAAGAUACAUGCCAGCAGUCGCGGUAAGAUGUAAAAGACUAGUGUUAUUCAUCUUUAAUAGGUUUAAAGGGUACCUAGACGGUUUAUUUAGUCUUAAACAGGAUACGAAUAAUCUAGAGUUAUAUGUAAGCAGGUGAGUAUUUAUGGAGUAGAGUUGAAAUUCCUGAUACCAUAAAGACUGGUAAAGGCGAAAGCAACCUUUUAUCUAAUAACUGACGUUGAGGGACGAAGGCAUGGGUAGCGAACAGGAUUAGAUACCCUAGUAGUCCUUGCAGAAAAUGAUGAAUGCCAUAUAUAAAUGAAAGUGUAAGCAUUUCACCUCAAGAGUAAUGUGGCAACGCAGGAACUGAAAUCAUUAGGCCGUUUCUGAAACCAGUAGUGAAGUAUGUUAUUUAAUUCGUAGUUACGCGAAAAACCUUACCACACAAGUGUUGCAUGGCUGUCUGCAGUUAAUGUCGUGAGAUUUGGAUAACUCCAUGAAUUAACGGAAGCCC